UACGGGGGGGGCAAGCGUUGUUCGGAAUUACUGGGCGUAAAGGGCUCGUAGGUGGCCAACUAAGUCAGACGUGAAAUCCCUCGGCUUAACCGGGGAACUGCGUCUGAUACUGGAUGGCUUGAGUUUGGGAGAGGGACGCGGAAUUCCAGGUGUAGCGGUGAAAUGCGUAGAUAUCUGGAGGAACACCGGUGGCGAAGGCGGCGUCCUGGACCAAUUCUGACGCUGAGUGAGCGAAAGCCAGGGGAGCAAACGGG
rnacentral:rRNA from 1 species